AUACGGAGGGUGCAAGCGUUGUUCGGAAUUAUUGGGCGUAAAGAGCAUGUAGGCGGACUGUUAAGUCUGGUGCGAAAGCCCGGGGCUCAACCCCGGAAGUGCAUUGGAUACUGGCAGUCUUGAGUAUGGGAGAGGAAAGUGGAAUUCCGAGUGUAGGAGUGAAAUCCGUAGAUAUUCGGAGGAACACCAGUGGCGAAGGCGGCUUUCUGGACCAAUACUGACGCUGAGAUGCGAAAGCGUGGGGAGCGAACAGGAUUAGAUACCCUAGUAGUCC
rnacentral:rRNA from 1 species